UCCGGUUUGUCACCGGCAGUCCCAUUAGAGUGCUCAACUGAAUGUAGCAACUAAUGGCAAGGGUUGCGCUCGUUGCGGGACUUAACCCAACAUCUCACGACACGAGCUGACGACAGCCAUGCAGCACCUGUGUCCAGGUUCCCUUUCGGGCACCCCUCCAUCUCUGGAGGGUUCCUGGCAUGUCAAGGGUAGGUAAGGUUUUUCGCGUUGCAUCGAAUUAAUCCACAUAAUCCACCGCUUGUGCGGGUCCCCGUCAAUUCCUUUGAGUUUUACCCUUGCGAGCGUACUCCCCAGGCGGGGCACUUAACACAUUAGCUUCGGCAGAGAGGACCAUAGGUUCCCCCCUGCCCAGUGCCCAUCGUUUACGGCUAGGACUA
rnacentral:misc_RNA from 1 species